rnacentral:rRNA from 1 species
GACGAACGCUGGCGGCGUGCUUAACACAUGCAAGUCGAGCGGUAAGGCCCUUUCGGGGGUACACGAGCGGCGAACGGGUGAGUAACACGUGGGUGACCUGCCCUCAGCUCUGGGAUAAGCCUGGGAAACCGGGUCUAAUACUGGAUAUGACUCCAUGACGCAUGUUGUGGGGUGGAAAGCCUUGUGCGGCUGAGGAUGGGCCCGCGGCCUAUCAGCUUGUUGGUGGGGUNAGGCCUACCAAGGCGACGACGGGUAGCCGGCCUGAGAGGGCGACCGGCCACACUGGGACUGAGACACGGCCCAGACUCCUACGGGAGGCAGCAGUGGGGAAUCUUGCGCAAUGGGCGAAAG